AGAAUUGGAUGAGAUGGCAAACUCUAGCACUAAAAUUCUAUUUUUAUGUAAUGCUAUUUGAUUCAAUUGAACCAAUAGUACAGAAUGCAUGAUAUAACUAGGAAUAGGAUUCUGGAGCAUAAAGAGGAAAAAGAGUUCACAAAGUAGCCAUAUUUCCUCUAGAGGCACCUAAGAUUGUGUUUUCUUAGAUAACCUUCUCCUUUCUUUCCUCCUUCUAUCACUUUGGCUCCACUGGCGCUAGAUGGAAGGAGAAGCUUAGAUAGAAAGGGGAAAGGCAGCUGAAAAGACCAUGAACAUGUAUUACUCCACAUCUGCAAAAGACCCAUGGAUUAAGCAACUCAUAUAUAUCAGCGAUUUUCAAGGUAUAUAAGUUAGCUUUUCUAGGAAUUUUUUUUUACUGUGAUUUCAACAUACGAAUUUCGAGGGGACAUAAAAAUUCAGGCCAUUGCAAUCCCCAUCCCUAUAAUUGGGUCUCCCAGAUGUCCACAAUGUGGGAUACAUUCAUCCAACUGUUGCCUGCCACUUGUAACCUCACAUCUCAUUUCCCCAAAUUUCCUGUGCCACUCAUUUUUUGCACUCACUUAUUUUCUUAUUAAUUAGCUAUUCAAUAUAUGUAGACUGUCUAUUACGUUACACAAACUGUACUGGGUGCUGUUUAAACAAAACAGCAUUCAGCCAGGUAAAAUAUUGGAGGAGGACAGGCCUUGUACACAAAGGGAAUAGCACUUAUCAUGGAUUAUGGAUAUAACACUAUGAAAAAGGCAGACAGAGUCCUUGCCUCAUAGAAUUACACUAUAGUUGCCAGAUGAUAAGUUUUACCUGGAGAGCUUGUUAAAAACACAGAUUCUUGAAUCCCUUCCCUGUUGAUUCUGAAUUGUAGGUCUAUAGUAGAACCUGGGAAUUUGCAUUUUAAAAAGCAUUUCAGUUCUCUUUGAAGAGGUCCUUCACAUCCUCUCUAAGUUGGAUUCCUAGGUAUUUUAUUCUCUUUGAAGCAAUUGUGAAUGGGAAUUCACCCAUGAUUUGGCUCUCUGUUUGUCUGUUAUUGGUGUAUAAGAAGCUUGUGAUUUUUGCACACUGAUUUUGUAUCCUGAGACUUUGCUGAAGUUGCUUAUCAGCUUAAGGAGACUUGGGGCUGAGACGAUGGGGUUUUCUAAAUAUACAAUCAUGUCAUCUGCAAACAGGGACAAUUUGACUUCCUCUUUUUCUAAUUGAAUACUUUUUAUUUCUUUCUCCUGCCU
rnacentral:lncRNA from 1 species